rnacentral:rRNA from 1 species
CCCUUAGAUGUCCUGGGCCGCACGCGCGCUACACUGACAUGUUCAGCAAGUUUCUCCUAGUUCGACAGGACUGGGAAAUCUUUGAACGCAUGUCGUGAUAGGGAUAGAUCAUUGCAAUUAUUGAUCUUGAACGAGGAAUUCCUAGUAAACGCGAGUCAUCAGCUCGCAUUGAUUACGUCCCUGCCCUUUGUACACACCGCCCGUCGCACCUACCGAUUGAAUGUUUCGGUGAAGAUUCCGGAUAGGACUGAUUUGAUUUAUUUCAUUUCUGACCUAAAAGCUAUCUAAACCUCAACAUUUAGAGGAAGGUGAAGUCGUAACA